rnacentral:tRNA from 2 species
GCGGAAGUGGCGAAAUUGGUAGACGCACCAGAUUUAGGUUCUGGCGCCGCAAGGUGUGAGAGUUCGAGCCUCUCCUUCCGCACCA